rnacentral:rRNA from 1 species
GUACACAAAAAUGCACAUGCUGUGAGCUCGAUGAGUAGGGCGGGACACGUGGUAUCCUGUCUGAAUAUGGGGGGACCAUCCUCCAAGGCUAAAUACUCCUGACUGACCGAUAGUGAACCAGUACCGUGAGGGAAAGGCGAAAAGAACCCCGGCGAGGGGAGUGAAAAAGAACCUGAAACCGUGUACGUACAAGCAGUGGGAGCACGCUUCGGCGUGUGACUGCGUACCUUUUGUAUAAUGGGUCAGCGACUUAUAUUCUGUAGCAAGGUUAACCGAAUAGGGGAGCCGAAGGGAAACCGAGUCUUAACUGGGCGUUAAGUUGCAGGGUAUAGACCCGAAACCCGGUGAUCUAGCCAUGGGCAGGUUGAAGGUUGGGUAACACUAACUGGAGGACCGAACCGACUAAUGUUGAAAAAUUAGCGGAUGACUUGUGGCUGGGGGUGAAAGGCCAAUCAAACCGGGAGAUAGCUGGUUCUCCCCGAAAGCUAUUUAGGUAGCGCCUCGUGAAUUCAUCUCCGGGGGUAGAGCACUGUUUCGGCAAGGGGGUCAUCCCGACUUACCAACCCGAUGCAAACUGCGAAUACCGGAGAAUGUUAUCACGGGAGACACACGGCGGGUGCUAACGUCCGUCGUGAAGAGGGAAACAACCCAGACCGCCAGCUAAGGUCCCAAAGUCAUGGUUAAGUGGGAAACGAUGUGGGAAGGCCCAGACAGCCAGGAUGUUGGCUUAGAAGCAGCCAUCAUUUAAAGAAAGCGUAAUAGCUCACUGGUCGAGUCGGCCUGCGCGGAAGAUGUAACGGGGCUAAACCAUGCACCGAAGCUGCGGCAGCGACGCUUAUGCGUUGUUGGGUAGGGGAGCGUUCUGUAAGCCUGCGAAGGUGUGCUGUGAGGCAUGCUGGAGGUAUCAGAAGUGCGAAUGCUGACAUAAGUAACGAUAAAGCGGGUGAAAAGCCCGCUCGCCGGAAGACCAAGGGUUCCUGUCCAACGUUAAUCGGGGCAGGGUGAGUCGACCCCUAAGGCGAGGCCGAAAGGCGUAGUCGAUGGGAAACAGGUUAAUAUUCCUGUACUUGGUGUUACUGCGAAGGGGGGACGGAGAAGGCUAUGUUGGCCGGGCGACGGUUGUCCCGGUUUAAGCGUGUAGGCUGAUUUUCCAGGCAAAUCCGGAAAAUCAAGGCUGAGGCGUGAUGACGAGGCACUACGGUGCUGAAGUAACAAAUGCCCUGCUUCCAGGAAAAGCCUCUAAGCAUCAGGUAACAUCAAAUCGUACCCCAAACCGACACAGGUGGUCAGGUAGAGAAUACCAAGGCGCUUGAGAGAACUCGGGUGAAGGAACUAGGCAAAAUGGUGCCGUAACUUCGGGAGAAGGCACGCUGAUAUGUAGGUGAAGUCCCUCGCGGAUGGAGCUGAAAUCAGUCGAAGAUACCAGCUGGCUGCAACUGUUUAUUAAAAACACAGCACUGUGCAAACACGAAAGUGGACGUAUACGGUGUGACGCCUGCCCGGUGCCGGAAGGUUAAUUGAUGGGGUUAGCGGUAACGCGAAGCUCUUGAUCGAAGCCCCGGUAAACGGCGGCCGUAACUAUAACGGUCCUAAGGUAGCGAAAUUCCUUGUCGGGUAAGUUCCGACCUGCACGAAUGGCGUAAUGAUGGCCAGGCUGUCUCCACCCGAGACUCAGUGAAAUUGAACUCGCUGUGAAGAUGCAGUGUACCCGCGGCAAGACGGAAAGACCCCGUGAACCUUUACUAUAGCUUGACACUGAACAUUGAGCCUUGAUGUGUAGGAUAGGUGGGAGGCUUUGAAGUGUGGACGCCAGUCUGCAUGGAGCCGACCUUGAAAUACCACCCUUUAAUGUUUGAUGUUCUAACGUUGGCCCCUGAUCGGGGUUGCGGACAGUGUCUGGUGGGUAGUUUGACUGGGGCGGUCUCCUCCUAAAGAGUAACGGAGGAGCACGAAGGUUGGCUAAUCCUGGUCGGACAUCAGGAGGUUAGUGCAAUGGCAUAAGCCAGCUUGACUGCGAGCGUGACGGCGCGAGCAGGUGCGAAAGCAGGUCAUAGUGAUCCGGUGGUUCUGAAUGGAAGGGCCAUCGCUCAACGGAUAAAAGGUACUCCGGGGAUAACAGGCUGAUACCGCCCAAGAGUUCAUAUCGACGGCGGUGUUUGGCACCUCGAUGUCGGCUCAUCACAUCCUGGGGCUGAAGUAGGUCCCAAGGGUAUGGCUGUUCGCCAUUUAAAGUGGUACGCGAGCUGGGUUUAGAACGUCGUGAGACAGUUCGGUCCCUAUCUGCCGUGGGCGCUGGAGAACUGAGGGGGGCUGCUCCUAGUACGAGAGGACCGGAGUGGACGCAUCACUGGUGUUCGGGUUGUCAUGCCAAUGGCACUGCCCGGUAGCUAAAUGCGGAAGAGAUAAGUGCUGAAAGCAUCUAAGCACGAAACUUGCCCCGAGAUGAGUUCUCCCUGACUCCUUGAGAGUCCUGAAGGAACGUUGAAGACGACGACGUUGAUAGGCCGGGUGUGUAAGCGCAGCGAUGCGUUGAGCUAACCGGUACUAAUGAACCGUGAGGCUUAACCUU